rnacentral:rRNA from 1 species
UACGGGGGGGGCAAGCGUUGUUCGGAAUUACUGGGCGUAAAGGGCUCGUAGGUGGCCAACUAAGUCAGACGUGAAAUCCCUCGGCUUAACCGGGGAACUGCGUCUGAUACUGGAUGGCUUGAGAUUGGGAGAGGGAUGCGGAAUUCCAGGUGUAGCGGUGAAAUGCGUAGAUAUCUGGAGGAAUACCGGUGGCGAAGGCGGCAUCCUGGACCGACAUUGACGCUGAGGAGCGAAAGCUAGGGGAGCAAACGGGG